GGGCCCGUAGCGCAGUCUGGUUAGCGUACCGGCCUUUUAAGCCGGCAGUCGAGGGUUCGAAUCCCUCCGGGCCCG
rnacentral:tRNA from 2 species